AUAUUUUCAUUAGUGGUAGAUCCAUUUAAAAUUUUACCAAUAAUGAGAUGACACAUGUCUACUCUUUACUAUUUCUCAAAAAAUAAAAUAAAAAUACUAAAUGCUAGUAAGAUAGAAGAAUAAAAAAUUAACUAACACCGAAUAAAAAAAAGUUUAGUGCUUCACACAAUAACUGUCGUUGCCCUGCGACAGUGAAGGCAAUGAUGACGGCAGACAUUGUUGAAGGCGAUGAUGACGACAAAAAUGGUUGAAAGCGGCGAUAAUGACGGAUUUGGCUGAAGGCGAUGAAGAUUGCGAGCGUGGCGAGGAGGACGGUAAGCGAUAGUGAAGGUUAACGAAGAAGAACGACAAGCCAAUACUGGAGAUAAGGUCUUCAUUUUUUUCUCUUCCUUUUUGGUAAAUUUUCUUUUUUAUUUCUUACAUUUCCAUAUCUCAUUCAAAGCAACUGUAGCAGUGUGAUUUUUUGCCUUUUUGAUUCAGUUUGUGGAGGUGAAAUGAAUAAGAUAGAUUGACAUUACUCAUCAAAGUAGCAGUGCUCUUUUUUGGUUUUUGGUUGGAUUGAACUGGUUAAACAAAGGUUAUGGGUUUUAAUAAGGAAGAUGGAGGUAGUGGUGGAUAGUGAUUUGAUAGAGGCCAUGGGUUUGACGAGUUUGAUGUAAGCAGUAGAGAUGGUGACGCUGAAGAGGUGAUGAUGGAGGCAAGGUGAUGGUUGAGAGGCCAUGGAUUUGAUGGUGCCAGCGGUGGUGACGGUAAAUUUUAGGAUCGAUGGGUGGCGAUGGAACAGUGGUGGAGGGGCGGUGAGAGAUAGUGGUGUUACAGUUAUUACUGGGUGUAAAAUAUUUAACUUUAAUAAAAAGUAUGUUUUUUAAUUUUAAUUAUUUAUGUUAUUAUGUCUAAAUAUAUAAUCAGAAAUAAUUAAUAUCCAC
rnacentral:lncRNA from 1 species